rnacentral:misc_RNA from 1 species
GGAAGUAAAAGUCGUAACAAGAUUUCCGUAGGUGAACCUGCGGAAGGAUCAUUAUUGUAUAACCGAGGUGCGAGGGCGGUCGCUGACCCGAAAGGUCGUGCACGCCCGAGUGCCCUCACACACAUCCAUCUCACCCCUAUGUGCACCACCGCGUGGGUCCCCCUUUGGCUUGUUCGGAGGGGGGCUUACGUUUUCACACAAACUUUGUAUGCAGUGUAGAAUGUAUUUUUUGUUUUUGCGAUCACGCAAUCAAUACAACUUCCAACAACGGAUCUCUUGGCUCUC